rnacentral:rRNA from 1 species
CGCGUAGGCGGGAAUACAAGUCUGUUUUUAAAGUUCGGGGCUCAACCCCGUGAUGGAAUGGAAACUGUAUUUCUUGAGGGCAGGAGAGGAAAGUGGAAUUCCUAGUGUAGCGGUGAAAUGCGUAGAUAUUAGGAGGAACACCAGUGGCGAAGGCGGCUUUCUGGACUGCAACUGACGCUGAGGCGCGAAAGCGUGGGGAGCAAACA